ensembl:lncRNA
GUGAUGUCAGAGAAGCCUCUUGGUUGGGCUCUGGUGACAGUUUAAAUCCUCAACAGUCAUACUGGUGUCAGGGACGCAGAGCAGUGCCUCUGGGUUGCCGGUCCAGGGGAUGUGUCCCUGAGCAUUUGAGGAGAGGAGAGGGGGUGGUCAGCUGUUUCAUUUUGGGGUUCUUCCUGACCCUUAGAAGACUGAGAUGAGCCCGACUGCAAAGAAGAUGAAGUUGAAGUCACUCUUCUAGAAACUGGGCGGAUCUUGUGGUGAUAAAGAGGGAAGGAUGGGCCUUUGAACAUGGCUCAGCUUACCAGACAUCAUAUCUGGACCUGGAUCUUCCUGGCGUCACCCUCAUUGGCUGUCCUGGAGACACACUUUGCGAUCCCUGCAAGCUCAUUUCAGUCCUCAGAGUGCCUGCAACCCUUGCCACUGAGAUUCGAGUGAAGAAUGAGAUAAGUACUAAGAAUGUGGUCGAUUGGGCUUGAGUCCCCUCACAAACUUAUACUGGAUAACCCAGCAGGAGACUUCGCGUGCUGAACACUCCCCCGUGUGAUUCCCACAAUGAAAGGACAUUGCUGACUGGAACCAGAAGAGCCAAGAAAACCCAGGGAGGCCAGUUUACACCCGUUACCCACUGGAUUUGAAAAGGAUGGUCACUUCCUUCCGGUAGUGGAUGACUACUUUGUCAAGAAAUUGAAGGGUUUGGGAACUCCCUUCGCCUUGUGCAAUUUGACACAUUUUAUAUUUAUGAAUGAAUGUUGCAAAAAAAAAAAAAUACUUGGGUCUUGGGUGAGGAUUUCUCAGGGAUUAAAAAAAUAAAAUAGAUGCAGGACACACAGUCCGCCCUGCUUCCUCCCAUCCAGUCCCAGGGGCCUCAAGCCCACAGCCAUGACAGAGAAAAUAUUUUUCUUUGUUUGUAUCCAAGAGAGAAGCAGCUGUCUGUCCUUCUGUCCCCUUCCAUCCCCGCCUCUCUCUGGAAAGACAGGAGAAAAACUUUUGUUUCUUGGGAGAAGAGCCGGGAUUCUCCCUCUAGCCCUUUGGAAUAUAAUAAGCCUCUCUCCAAAAGCCUGAAAUUGUCUUGAACAUUUGGAACCAGAGGGAGGGCUCCAGGGUGUAGAAUGGAAAUACCUGGGGAAGCGGGAAGUAGCUGUCCCUUCUCCCGACAUCUUAAGAACUUCACCUGAGGUGUUAGUCUGGGCUUUAACUACUUGGUCCUCUUAGGGAGUUCACUGAAAGUUUUAUUAUCCUCGUGGAUCAGAGAAAAUAGAAUAAAUGGAUGAGGUAAAAGAAAAAAAAUCUGAGCUUUAGGGAAAAUCAAGGCAAACUGCUGUCAGCUGGACACCCAGGUCUGUGUCCCAGAAGUACUAAGACACUCUAAAAAGCUUUGGUUUACAAAAAUAUAAGAUAGAACAAAAAACCAUCACACGGAAGUUGUGAUGUGGGGCAAACUAACAGAAGGAAAAAAGCCCAAGGGAAGGCACUAGAACCAGAGACUGGUUCCCACACUCGAUAGUUUCAUGAAAAUACUUAAAAACUGAAAGCUUUACUGUAUAUGCAAAGGAACUGGCUCAGAACCAAGGUUUUUGACGACAUUGCAUAGAGUGUAGUUAGGAUUUUGCAGAUGGAAAUGAGCAUCCUUACGAUCCUUCCUGGGGAGGCAGACACCCAGGAAAAUCGGCUCUUUGACUGACACGACUUUAACUCCAGAAAUUCCACUUUGUGGAAUCGUGACAAAGGUGAAGCAUGAGGUUCAGAGGAGAUACAAGAAUUACAACUGCAAGAUGCCUGAGAUCGACAGACCCGAAAGCAAAUGUAAAAGGAAGCAAUGCGGCGGAAGUGGAGAGGGGCAGGCCUCCCGAGAGCCUCUGGGAACGGAAGUGAUGUCCAGCCCCGCCCUCCCCGUAAGAUGUAAAGCUGGAUACAGGGUAAAUGGCCGUUUUUUUUUUUUUUUCUUCUUCCCCAAUUUUGCCAGCUUGUCUCAAUGUUUUGGUCUUCCAGUUUUCCUUUGAGAACGUGUCUAGUAACAGACCUGAGAGAACAGUUGUGACUGCAGACCUGAGCUCGUGGGGUGCUAGUGCAUUGUGUUGGAUUGUUCUUAAAUGAUCCUCUUAUAUCCUGAUCUGGGAUACUUUUCUUUGUCUACUUAAAUGAAAAGUGCGAAGCACAGCUCUUGUCCCAAAAGGAAUAAGAGAAUCUGUCUUGAGCCAAAUAUGAAUGACCAAUGCGCAGAAACUCACAUGGUAGUUUUCUCAAAUGUGAUGUACUCUCCUCCAUGGAAGAGAUUACAUGAACAGUCAUGCAUAUAGAACAAGAAGUCAUGUGUGAAUGCAUUUGCCCAAUACAUUGGUGCAGACAUUAGGUACACAGUCACAGAAGAGAAAGGAACCCUCAUCAAAAGGACUUGGGUUGGGGUUUGGGAUUGGUGGGACACGGUGAGCACAUUGCAAAAGUUUUGCCUGAUAGUAAAAAUGACUUCCGGUCAGAUACCGAGCCUGGUCGUCUUGUUAACAUUGUCUAGAGGUCAUUUUAGCACUCGACAUAGAACUCCCCAAUCUCCCGGCCAGAAUUCGAUUGGUCAGUUGCUGCAGAAUCUUCCGUGUGAAUGUGUCCUUUUCAGAAAAUGAUAAUGCACAGCAUGGGGCAAGAUGUGGAGACAGCAGUAUCGUCUUUUGAAGAGUGCACAAAGAGUUUAAAUGCAGCCAAGGGGAGUGUGCACGCGUAGCUCAGUGCCAAUGGGAAUUGCAUGAGUUUAUGCCAAGGAACAAACUGUAUCUGUGAGUGGACACGGGCAGGGCUGUCACAGGAACAAAUGGAAGUGUUUUUUAAGGAACUUGUUUUUUAAGAGAACUUCAUUCUCUCAACGAUAUACUCUAUGCCAGGAACUAUACUCUUCCAAACAUGCAGUGCUGGGCAGCAGUCUUGGUACCCGUGAAAUUGUUCCCCGGUUGUAGGGGUGAGGCAUUAUAGUCAGACACAUGUCCCACGAGGUCAGGCAGCAGAAAUGUCUUGAUGAAAAAACCAAACUGCAUGACCCAGACAUGGGGCUGCUGUUCUAAAUGGGGUGAUGAGGGAAGGCUUCUCUUUAAGGGACAAUAACUGAGCAGAGACCCAAAGAAAGAGGGAUGCCAAGUGCUACUGAGGCAAGCAUCACUUUGUGGCUCGCUUCUAUUCUCCAGAGGCUCGGGUUCGUAGCACAGCUAACGCAACCCUAGCAUGUUCUGGGUUAUCUUCUAGUGUGAGAAGACACCUGGGUCCAUAGCCUGCCACCUUAGUUUGUCUGCAUUCCUACACUAAAUAAAUAUAUAUCUUAUCAUUUAUAUAAUCGGUAAUCGGAAAUUGGUAAAGAAAAAUGGAUUUAUUUACAGUUUGGACAAAAUGGAAAGAGAUGGAGACAUUUUCUCCUGCAGCUCCAUAUAGUGUGUGCCACCUUUCAUAUGUGCACAGAACACACAUAGAAAGGAAGUGUGGGACUCGGGACUCUGCCAGGUGCAAAGUUCUGGUGCCUCUCUCUCUCUCUCUCUCUCUCUCUCUCUCUCUCUCUCUCUCUCUCUCUCUCCCUCUCUCUCUCUCUCUCUCUCUCUCUCUCUCUCUCUCUCCCCCCCCCUCCAGGUUUGGAGGUGUGAUGUUCCCACCACACAGCAGAGGCGUUACCAUCUACCUCCUCCCUCCCGGAAAUAGACAGUAGCUGUUCAUUACCUAGAGCGGCACUGUUCCGGGAAAUGUAAGGUGCAAAGAGUAAGCACUCUGCAGAGUCAUGUUUCGGGCUCAGCUCCUGGUUUCCUAUUGUGUGACCUUAACCCUGACCCCUCUGUAACAGUAUCACUAAAACAAGGACCUUUUUACCUAUCCCACAGUAACAGUGGAUGUCAAGGACUUCAUCGAUGUCUGGUGUGGAAGUGUUAAAUCUGUGUCUUACUGUUGUUACUGCUACCAAAGAGUCAGUCCUCACUGAACUUAGAGAAUUCUUUUCCCCGAGUGUAUUGAGUAUAAUUAACAAAUAAAGCAUCCGCGUAUUUAAGAUGGAAUGUGGUGUUUUCAUAUAUGCACUGGGAAGGAUUACCAAAAUCACGUCUGUUGAUAUCGGGACCACAGCGCACCUUCUGUGUCAG